rnacentral:rRNA from 1 species
GACGAACCGUCCAAACGUUAUUCGGAAUCACUGGGCUUACAGAGUUCGUAGGCGGUCUGGAAAGUUGGGUGUGAAAUCCCUCGGCUUAACCGAGGAACUGCGCCCAAAACUACUGUGCUUGAGGGAGACAGAGGUGAGCGGAACUUAGGGUGGAGCGGUGAAAUGCUUAGAUAUGACAUAGAACACCAAUUGCGAAGGCAGCUCACUACACGAAUAUUGACACUGAGGCACGAAAGCGUGGGGAUCAAACAGG